rnacentral:rRNA from 1 species
UGGAGAAAUAUGGGAGGAGAAGGCGGCCCCCUGGACAUAGACUGACGUUCAGGUGCGAAAGCGUGGGGAGCAAUCAGGAUUAGAUACCCUGGUAGUCCACGCUGUAAACGAUGUCGACUUGGAGGUUGUGCCCUUGAGGCGUGGCUUCCGGAGCUAACGCGUUAAGUCGACCGCCUGGGGAGUACGGCCGCAAGGUUAAAACUCAAAUGAAUUGACGGGGGCCCGCACAAGCGGUGGAGCAUGUGGUUUAAUUCGAUGCAACGCGAAGAACCUUACCUACUCUUGACAUCCAGAGAACUUAGCAGAGAUGCUUUGGUGCCUUCGGGAACUCUGAGACAGGUGCUGCAUGGCUGUCGUCAGCUCGUGUUGUGAAAUGUUGGGUUAAGUCCCGCAACGAGCGCAACCCUUAUCCUUUGUUGCCAGCGCGUGAUGGCGGGAACUCAAAGGAGACUGCCGGUGAUAAACCGGAGGAAGGUGGGGAUGACGUCAAGUCAUCAUGGCCCUUACGAGCAGGGCUACACACGUGCUACAAUGGCGUAUACAAAGGGAAGCGACCCCGCGAGGGCAAGCGGAACUCAUAAAGUACGUCGUAGUCCGGAUUGGAGUCUGCAACUCGACUCCAUGAAGUCGGAAUCGCUAGUAAUCGUAGAUCAGAAUGUUACGGUGAAUACGUUUCCCGGGCCUUGUACACACCGCCCGUCACACCAUGGGAGUGGGUUGCAAAAGAAGUAGGUAGCUUAACCUCCGGGAGGGCGCUUACCACUUUGUGAUUCAUGAUUUUUUAAAGGGGGGUAACAAGGUUUCCAC